CAAAAUUUACAUUUAAUAUAAAGUUAUUGAGCGGUGUAACACUUAGUAAAAGUUACACCGCUCAAUAAAUUUAUAUUAAAUAUGAAUUUUA
rnacentral:miRNA from 1 species